AACGACGCUGGCGGCAGGCCUAAAACAUGCAAGUCGAACGAACCUUCGGGUUAGUGGCGCACGGGUGAGUAACGCGUGGGAAUGUGCCUCUGGGUGCGGAACAACGUCGGGAAACUGACGCUAAUACCGCAUAAUGUCUACGGACCAAAGAUUUAUCGCCCAGAGAUCAGCCCGCGUCUGAUUAGCUAGUUGGUGAGGUAACGGCUCACCAAGGCUACGAUCAGUAGCUGGUCUGAGAGGAUGAUCAGCCACACUGGAACUGAGACACGGUCCAGACUCCUACGGGAGGCAGCAGUUAGGAAUAUUGGACAAUGGGGGAAACCCUGAUCCAGCCAUGCCGCGUGUGUGAAGAAGGCCUUAGGGUUGUAAAGCACUUUCGGCUGUGAAGAUAAUGACAGUGGCAGAAGAAGAAGCUCCGGCUAAAUUCGUG
rnacentral:rRNA from 1 species